ensembl:lncRNA
GUCUCCGACAGGAAGUUUUGGAAGAGAGAUUUCCGAACAUGAUUUGAAGACGUGGAGCUAUUGAAUACACAUCGCCCUGUGAUCAAUUUGAUAGAUUAUUAACGUUUACUAAUACCUACAGUUGGAUUACAAAAGUAUUUCGAAGUGUUUUGUGAAAGUUUAUCGUCGACUUUUUUGAUUUAAAAAAAUGACGUAGCGUUUUCAAACAGUGUUUUUUUAUGGAUCACACAGUUUUCAUAGAUCGAUAUUUAGGGUAUAUAUGGACCGAUUUAAUCGAGAAAAAAAAGACCCAAUAGUGAUGUUUAUGGGACAUAUAGGAGUGCCAACAAAGAAGCUAGUCAAAGCAGGACACACAGGAUGUACUUCAGACACCCAACAAUGCCGAAAUCUCUGUCAUUGGCAAGAGAAAGAGACCCAGGUAUCGAGGACACAGGGCUGGGUGCCUCGUAAGGAUCCGCAGACGGUGAGUGGAA